rnacentral:rRNA from 1 species
CCGUGCGAAGGUAGCAUAAUCAUUAGUCUUUUAAUUGAAGGCUUGAAUGAAUGGUUGGACGAGAAAUAUACUGUCUCAUAUUAAAUAAAUUGAAAUUUACUUUUAAGUGAAAAGGCUUAAAUUAGUUUAAGGGACGAUAAGACCCUAUAAAUCUUUAUAUUAAAUAGUAUUUACUUUAUAAAUAUAUAAUUGCAAGUAAUAUAAAUAACAAUAUUAAUAUUUUAUUGGGGUGAUAUAAAUAUAAUAAUUAACUAUUUUUAAUAUAAACACAAUAAUUUUUGAUUUAUUUUAAGAUCCUUAUUUUUAAGAUUACAAGAUCAAGUUACUUUAGGGAUAACAGCGUUAUUUUUUUUAAGAGUUCUCAUCAAAAAAAAAGUUUGCGACCUCGAUGUUGAAUUAAAAUAUCCUUAUGGAGCAAAAACUAUAAAGGAAAGUCUGUUCGACUUUUAAAAUUUUACAU